AUUGAACGCUGGCGGCAUGCUUUACACAUGCAAGUCGAACGGUAACAGGCCGCAAGGUGCUGACGAGUGGCGAACGGGUGAGUAAUGCAUCGGAACGUGCCCAGUCGUGGGGGAUAACGCAGCGAAAGCUGCGCUAAUACCGCAUACGAUCUAUGGAUGAAAGCGGGGGACCGUAAGGCCUCGCGCGAUUGAAGCGGCCGAUAUCAGAUUAGGUAGUUGGUGGGGUAAAGGCUCACCAAGCCAACGAUCUGUAGCUGGUCUGAGAGGACGACCAGCCACACUGGGACUGAGACACGGCCCAGACUCCUACGGGAGGCAGCAGUGGGGAAUUUUGGACAAUGGGCGCAAGCCUGAUCCAGCAAUGCCGCGUGCAGGAAGAAGGCCUUCGGGUUGUAAACUGCUUUUGUACGGAACGAAACGGUCCUGGUUAAUACCUGGGGCUAAUGACGGUACCGUAAGAAUAAGCACCGGCUAACUACGUGCCAGCAGCCGCGGUAACAC
rnacentral:rRNA from 1 species